UACGUAGGGGGCUAGCGUUGUCCGGAAUCAUUGGGCGUAAAGCGCGUGUAGGCGGUUCGGUAAGUCCGCUGUGAAAGUCGGGGGCUCAACCCUCGAAUGCCGGUGGAUACUGUCGGGCUAGAGUGCGGAAGAGGCGAGUGGAAUUCCUGGUGUAGCGGUGAAAUGACGCAGAUAUCAGGAGGAACACCAAUUGCGAAGGCAGCUCGCUGGGACGCUACUGACGCUGAGGAGCGAAAGCGUGGGGAGCGAACAGG
rnacentral:rRNA from 1 species